ACCGGCGGCUCGAGUGGUGGCCACUAUUACUGGGCUUAAAGCGUUCGUAGCUGGCUUGUUAAGUCUCUGGGGAAAUCUUCCGGCUCAACCGGAAGGCGUCUCAGGGAUACUGGCAGGCUAGGGACCGGAAGAGGUGAGAGGUACCCCAAGGGUAGGAGUGAAAUCCUGGAAUCCUGGGGGGACCACCUGUGGCGAAGGCGGCUCACCGGAACGGAUCCGACAGUGAGGAACGAAAGCUAGGGGAGCAAACCG
rnacentral:rRNA from 1 species